rnacentral:rRNA from 1 species
CCUACGGGAGGCUGCAGUGAGGAAUAUUGGUCAAUGGGCGCAAGCCUGAACCAGCCAUCCCGCGUGAAGGAAGAAUGCGCUAUGCGUUGUAAACUUCUUUUCCAGGGGAAUAAAAUUCUGUACGCGUACGGGAUUGAAGGUACCCUGGGAAUAAGCAUCGGCUAACUCCGUGCCAGCAGCCGCGGUAAUACGGAGGAUGCGAGCGUUAUCCGGAUUUAUUGGGUUUAAGGCGUGCGUAGGCGUCAGUGGUGAAAUCCAACAGCUCAACUGUUGAUGUGCCAAUGAUACUGAUGGACUUGAGUACAGACGAGGUAGGCGGAAUUGACAGUGUAGCGGUGAAAUGCAUAGAUAUUGUCAAGAACACCGAUAGCGAAGGCAGCUUGCUAGCCUGUAACUGACGCUGAGGCACGAAAGUAUGGGGAUCAAACAGGAUUAGAUACCCGUGUAGUC